UCGCGGCCUAUCAGCUUGUUGGUGGGGUAAUGGCCUACCAAGGCAACGACGGGUAGCCGGCCUGAGAGGGUGACCGGCCACACUGGGACUGAGACACGGCCCAGACUCCUACGGGAGGCAGCAGUGGGGAAUAUUGGACAAUGGGCGAAAGCCUGAUCCAGCAACGCCGCGUGAGGGAUGACGGCCUUCGGGUUGUAAACCUCUUUCAGCAGGGACGAAGCGCAAGUGACGGUACCUGCAGAAGAAGCACCGGCCAACUACGUGCCAGCAGCCGCGGUAAUACGUAGGGUGCGAGCGUUGUCCGGAAUUAUUGGGCGUAAAGGGCUCGUAGGCGGUUUGUCGCGUCGGGAGUGAAAACUCAGGGCUUAACCCUGAGCCUGCUUCCGAUACGGGCAGACUAGAGGUAUGCAGGGGAGAACGGAAUUCCUGGUGUAGCGGUGAAAUGCGCAGAUAUCAGGAGGAACACCGGUGGCGAAGGCGGUUCUCUGGGCAUUACCUGACGCUGAGGAGCGAAAGUGUGGGGAGCGAACAGGAUUAGAUACCCUGGUAGUCCACACCGUAAACGUUGGGCGCUAGGUGUGGGACUCAUUCCACGAGUUCCGUGCCGCAGCUAACGCAUUAAGCGCCCCGCCUGGGGAGUACGG
rnacentral:rRNA from 1 species